rnacentral:ncRNA from 2 species
AAGUUCGUGCAAAUUCAAUAAAUUGCAAUAUGACGUAGGCCU